CCUACGGGUGGCUGCAGUGGGGAAUAUUGCACAAUGGGCGCAAGCCUGAUGCAGCCAUGCCGCGUGUGUGAAGAAGGCCUUCGGGUUGUAAAGCACUUUCGGCGGGGAGGAAGGCGUUAAGGUUAAUAACCUUGGCGAUUGACGUUACCCGCAGAAGAAGCACCGGCUAACUCCGUGCCAGCAGCCGCGGUAAUACGGAGGGUGCAAGCGUUAAUCGGAAUUACUGGGCGUAAAGCGCACGCAGGCGGUCUGUCAAGUCGGAUGUGAAAUCCCCGGGCUCAACCUGGGAACUGCAUUCGAAACUGGCAGGCUAGAGUCUUGUAGGGGGGGGUAGAAUUCCAGGUGUAGCGGUGAAAUGCGUAGAGAUCUGGAGGAAUACCGGUGGCGAAGGCGGCCCCCUGGACAAAGACUGACGCUCAGGUGCGAAAGCGUGGGGAACAAACAGGAUUAGAUACCCGAGUAGUC
rnacentral:rRNA from 1 species